rnacentral:rRNA from 1 species
CCUACGGGAGGCAGCAGUAAGGAAUAUUGGUCAAUGGACGAAAGUCUGAACCAGCCAUGCCGCGUGAAGGAUGACGGCCCUCUGGGUUGUAAACUUCUUUUAUAGGGGACGAAAAAAGGGUAUUCUUACUCACUUGACGGUACCCUAGGAAUAAGCACCGGCUAACUCCGUGCCAGCAGCCGCGGUAAUACGGAGGGUGCAAGCGUUAUCCGGAUUCACUGGGUUUAAAGGGUGCGUAGGUGGGUCUAUAAGUCAGUGGUGAAAUCUCCGAGCUUAACUCGGAAACUGCCAUUGAUACUAUAGGCCUUGAAUUAUCUGGAGGUAAGCGGAAUAUGUCAUGUAGCGGUGAAAUGCUUAGAUAUGACAUAGAACACCAAUUGCGAAGGCAGCUUACUACGGAUAUAUUGACACUGAGGCACGAAAGCGUGGGGAUCAAACAGGAUUAGAUACCCUGGUAGUCCACGCCCUAAACUAUGGAUACUCGACANACAGCGAUACACUGUUGGUGUCUGAGACGAAGACGAUUAAGUUAAUACCCUACCCGUACGGGAAGGUAACGGAACCGAACCGAAGGUUAGUUAAACGUUAACGUAAAGUUAAAGUUAGUAGGCGNGNGAGAGCGACGACGACGACGAGGAGGAGGAGG